UAGGCAUGAUCAAAUACAUGAUCAGAGUGGAUUUAUAACAAGAAAUUUAUUGAAACUGGUUGAAGAGGAGGAGGAUAUGUGACCUUUAAACUCCCGUGCUCCAUCGUUUUCUGACACUCAAACACACUUUCAUUCUUGGAGAGCACAGGAAUGGAUCAUCUGUCGUCACCAUGAUGCAGAAUGAUUAAUAUCUCAGGACUAAACAUCUAUUCUUCAUGCACACCCUGAAAAAUGAUGAUAACUAAAUAAAACAGACAAAAACACAGAACUAAACCUCAGUGCAUUUAUUAAGAAACAUUACGCCACACUUAAAUCUCCUACAAGACGCUUUAAUGGAUCCUUCCUCCUUUUCUCCAGAGAACCAAACAGACGUAAUCUCGAGUAUCCUCCCAGGAGGUUUG